UACGAAGGGGGCUAGCGUUGCUCGGAAUCACUGGGCGUAAAGGGUGCGUAGGCGGGUCUUAAGUCAGGGGUGAAAUCCUGGAGCUCAACUCCAGAACUGCCUUCGAUACUGGCGAUCUUGAGUCCGGAAGAGGUGAGUGGAACUCCUAGUGUAGAGGUGGAAUUCGUAGAUAUUAGGAAGAACACCAGUGGCGAAGGCGGCUCACUGGUCCGGUACUGACGCUGAGGUGCGAAAGGCGUGGGGAGCAAACAGG
rnacentral:rRNA from 1 species